rnacentral:misc_RNA from 1 species
UGCCCGUACGCAUUACCGUGC